rnacentral:rRNA from 1 species
AGUAAGAGGGGCUCUUGAAACUUAAAGUAUUUGGCGGUUUUUCAGUCUAGUUAGAGGAAUUUGUCCUGUAAUAGAUGGUCCACAAGUGAUUUAACUCUUUUUUUAAAUAUCGCCGUCGACGUCAGGUCAAGAUUUAGCAGAUGGAGGAGGUUGAGAUUGGAUUUAAAAGUGCAUGGGGGUAGUUUGGGCUCUGGAAAAUGU